UACGUAGGGGGCAAGCGUUAUCCGGAAUCAUUGGGCGUAAAGCGCGUGUAGGCGGUUCCGUAAGUCCGCUCUGAGAGCCCAGGGCUCAACCCUGGGAGGCGGGUGGAUACUACGGAACUGGAGUACGGAAGAGGAGAUUGGAAUUCCUGGUGUAGCGGUGAAAUGCGCAGAUAUCAGGAGGAACACCAACAGCGAAGGCAGAUCUCUGGGACGUUACUGACGCUGAGACGCGAAAGCGUGGGGAGCAAACAGG
rnacentral:rRNA from 1 species